rnacentral:rRNA from 1 species
CCUACGGGAGGCAGCAGUGAGGAAUAUUGGUCAAUGGACGAGAGUCUGAACCAGCCAAGUAGCGUGAAGGAUGACUGCCCUAUGGGUUGUAAACUUCUUUUAUAUGGGAAUAAAAUGUUCCACGUGUGGGAUUUUGUAUGUACCAUAUGAAUAAGGAUCGGCUAACUCCGUGCCAGCAGCCGCGGUAAUACGGAGGAUCCGAGCGUUAUCCGGAUUUAUUGGGUUUAAAGGGAGCGUAGGUGGAUUGUUAAGUCAGUUGUGAAAGUUUGCGGCUCAACCGUAAAAUUGCAGUUGAAACUGGCAGUCUUGAGUACAGUAGAGAUGGGCGGAAUUCGUGGUGUAGCGGUGAAAUGCUUAGAUAUCACGAAGAACUCCGAUUGCGAAGGCAGUUCACUGGACUGCAACUGACACUGAGGCUCGAAAGUGUGGGUAUCAAACAGGGUUAGAUACCCCUGUAGUC